CCUUUCUCGGGUAAGCUAAAUUGUUUUUGUGCGAAAUUUGGCACGCCCGUGGAAUGCC
rnacentral:pre_miRNA from 1 species